GGACAAUGGGGGAAACCCUGAUCCAGCCAUCCCGCGUGUGCGAUGAAGGCCUUCGGGUUGUAAAGCACUUUUGGCAGGAAAGAAACGUCAUGGGCUAAUACCCCGUGAAACUGACGGUACCUGCAGAAUAAGCACCGGCUAACUACGUGCCAGCAGCCGCGGUAAUACGUAGGGUGCAAGCGUUAAUCGGAAUUACUGGGCGUAAAGCGUGCGCAGGCGGUUCGGAAAGAAAGAUGUGAAAUCCCAGAGCUUAACUUUGGAACUGCAUUUUUAACUACCGAGCUAGAGUGUGUCAGAGGGAGGUGGAAUUCCGCGUGUAGCAGUGAAAUGCGUAGAUAUGCGGAGGAACACCGAUGGCGAAGGCAGCCUCCUGGGAUAACACUGACGCUCAUGCACGAAAGCGUGGGGAGCAAACAGGAUUAGAUACCCUGGUAGUCCACGCCCUAAACGAUGUCAACUAGCUGUUGGGGCCUUCGGGCCUUGGUAGCGCAGCUAACGCGUGAAGUUGACCGCCUGGGGAGUACGGUCGCAAGAUUAAAACUCAAAGGAAUUGACGGGGACCCGCACAAGCGGUGGAUGAUGUGGAUUAAUUCGAUGCAACGCGAAAAACCUUACCUACCCUUGACAUGUCUGGAAUUCCGAAGAGAUUUGGAAGUGCUCGCAAGAGAACCUGGAA
rnacentral:rRNA from 1 species